GGAUCGUGAAGUACCCUGUGCAGCAGCUUGUCAUCUCUUGGAAGAUCUUUGCAAUUCUUUUUAUCUGGACAAAGAACAGAAAAUAUGCACCAUAGCAAAAUUGGAUCAGUUGGAGGAAGUUAAGGAGGAAGAUCAAGUAUUUGCCUUUGUUGAAAUUGAAGCCUUUACAACACUACCACUGUGCAAGAUUGGAUUCGUUCUAUUGGAAAGCAAGGAAGCAUGUGUUGAUGUCAAUGAAUGUACUCAACAAGAAACCUUGGAUUACUGUGGACCUAAUACCAACUGUGUGAACACUGCUGGUAGUUUCAGAUGUGAAUGCAAGGUUGGAUUUGAAAAAUGGACACCAGAGGAAGGUUGUUUGGACGUAAAUGAA